rnacentral:rRNA from 1 species
UACAGAGGCGGCAAGCGUUGUUCGGAAUUACUGGGCGUAAAGGGCUCGUAGGCGGCCAACUAAGUCGGAUGUGAAAUCCCCAGGCUUAACCUGGGAACUGCAUCCGAUACUGGAUGGCUUGAAUUCGGGAGAGGGAUGCAGAAUUCCAGGUGUAGCGGUGAAAUGCGUAGAUAUCUGGAGGAAUACCGGUGGCGAAGGCGGCAUCCUGGACCGACAUUGACGCUGAGGAGCGAAAGCUAGGGGAGCAAACGGGG